rnacentral:lncRNA from 1 species
AUGUUUUUGGGGUGGAAGGCUUGUAGAUCAACCCAGAGAGAAAACAACUCAAAGCAACAAAUAGAAGAAGUUAAAACCAACACUGACAAAGAAGACAACAGAAUGGCAUACAAGGUGGGGUGCAGCUCUAUGCCUGAUCUGGCAGACACGAACAGUCCUCCCAGCAGUCCAGACAACAUCUAUAUUACCAUGCAUGGUUUCCCGUUUGCACCGGACGCUCCUGUCACAGCUGGAUGCAGCAGACGUCUUCCCUCUGACUGGCAGCCAAAAGAUGAGGAACCCAUAUAUGUCCGCUGCCACCAAGAUUUAUCAAUUAGAUCAUGUCGCUUAAAAGAUGAGACACAAAAUAACUGA